UACGAGGGGUCCUAGCGUUGUUCGGAAUCAUUGGGCGUAAAGGGUGUGUAGGUGGCCAUUCAAGUCAGUUGUGAAAGUCCAGGGCUCAACCCUGGGAUGCCGGUGGAUACUGUCGGACUAGAGUACGGAAGAGGCGAGUGGAGUUCCCGGUGUAGCGGUGAAAUGCGCAGAUAUCAGGAGGAACACCGGUGGCGAAGGCGGAUCUCUGGGCCUUACCUGACGCUCAGGUGCGAAAGCUAGGGGAGCGAACAGG
rnacentral:rRNA from 1 species